rnacentral:lncRNA from 1 species
CGCCCAUUGUGCCCGGCCCGCGCCGCCGGGCCGCCCGGAGCCCGCCCGCGACCCGCAGCGCGCCCGACGACCCGGCCCUGCAAGUUCGGGCCCGCGCCGCCCGCCCGCCGGGGAAGCACGUGAACUUGGAGAAAGUCGCGGGGCGCGCCGGCCCGGACCUCCGCGGCAGGGCGUGGGCGCCCCCGGCGCGGCGCGCUUUCGUUUUCGUCCCGGACAAAGGUCCCUCGAGGCGCUAGUCUCGGAUGCGGAGACCGGGUUCUGCCGGCCGCUCCUCCCGAGAGGUCCGGUGGUUCCGUACGGGCAAGCCGGAGUCACAGAGGAGGAGCGGCGCGGUGCGGGACCGGGAGAGUGGGGCCUGGCCGUGCGCUUCGCCCGGCCGUCUCCGUCCCGGAGCCGUCCCGCCCUGCGAAGAGUUGCGGGAGAUGGCACCGCGCUGCUCUCUGCGGUUCGCACGCGUGAAGGAGGGAAGCGUUUGGGACCCAGGACGCAUACCCGUCGCUCGCCCGGGGCCUGUGCGGUGUGGGCACCACAGCGCAGCGCUGGCUGCGUCCGGGCGCGUUCCUCCGGCAAGGGCGGUCGACCUGCGAGUCCCGGGGUCACCAUCGGGUUCCGGGCGACUCCUGAGGAUGGACUCACCCCUGCGUCCCGUCACCUUGUUCUGCAAGCGACCCCUGACGUUCAGACGACUGACCGUGCACCACCCUCAGGUCAGUGCAGCACCUUGGACAUUGAAAGUCAGGGCUCCCUCUCCCCCCCAGGUACCGCCCGGGGCCGGGCACGUCUGGAGCGGUACACGCGCACGCACGUAACACGCGUGGAGGCUAGUGGAGAACAGAGGAGCCGGGCUGGCGGUACUCACGUUUUUGCAAGCUCAGCUGGGCCUGCUCCAGCGUCGGCCCUGACCUGCCACCAGCCUCUCUCCGUAGCCGAGGGACCAAGGUCCGCCAGAAGCCAGGGGCUUGCCCUGGUCUCUUGCCCCGGGAAGCUGGACUCAGGCCCGUCUCUCUGGCUCCCUUCUGCACAGAAGCCGAGGGAAGCUCCUUCUGCAAGGCGCCAUCUGUCUCGGGGGUCCGUGGUGGGAGGGCCCGGGCCAGCUGCUGGGGACUGUUGGAAGUGUCUGUGGAGUGGGCAGAGCUCAGGGGCUCAGCAGGUGAGGGGGCCCCGGCCUGCCACUCCCUAUCCUGGCGGCCUCGUGGCCCUGGCGGAGGCCUGUCGUGCCCAGAGGCCCCCUGCCCACACCCCGCACCCCCCCGAGAGCCGGCCCGCGGUGCAGGCCGCGGGACCCACUCGGCUGCCUCCAGCCUCCUGGGGAGUCAGUGGGGCCAUGUGGGCCAGACAGGCGUCCCCUCCCCUCCCCCGCUGUUGCCAUGGCCAGGGGCAGGCCUGCCUCCCGGGUCUGGGUGGAGAGGACCCCAGGCUGUUGUGUCUGGGCUCAGGACCCCUCUGCCAUCUGGGCCUCGUGUGUUUAUAGGUCCAGCUUGCCCGCAAGACUCUGCAGACGCGGCCCCCGGGGCUUUUGUGUCUGCACGCAGAGCGGGCGCCAGCCGGUGCCCGAGAUGGGGGGUGGAAUGUGGGUGGGGAGAGGGGGAGGCCCCCAGAGGACGUGGGACAGAGGGAAAGGGGGACAUGGGGGGGUUACCAGAGGAAGGGGAAGGACAGAGUGGAGGAAGAGAGAAAGCAGGGCAGGGCACAGGAAGAGAGGAGACACGGGGCAGAGCGACAGGAAGCUGGGGGGGGGUGGCCUGGGGUGCAGCUGGUCCCAGAUGUCCCCAGGGCCUCCUGGGCUGUGCCCAAGGCCAUCUAGUCCAGGUGCUUUCCCGGGGGCACGCUGCGAAAUCCCCCGAUGUCUCGCUGGCUACAGGUAGCCUCCAGGCUCCAAAUGAAACCCAGGCCCCCGGAGGUUCGCUCCUCACACAGACGCGGGCACCAGACUCGGGUCCUGAGUCCCCAAGCCCUGACAGACACAAGCAGGAGGCCGCAAGGGUGUGUCCCCAGGACCGUGGGCGGAGGUCGAAGGAGGCAGGGCCGGCCGGCCUGGGAGGCCAGAAGGGCUCUUGGACCAGGACGAGGGGGUCUGUACACAGUAGCCGAGACCCAGGUGACGUGGGGAGGGUUGUGGGCGGAGAAGGACAGGCCUGGAGGAGCGGGCUCUCCCGGGGCAGGACCUGUACCCCCCCCCCCCAUACUGUGCAGGGGACAGAAGACCAGGCCGAUGCAUACAGUAGGUGCUUGCUCUGUGGUCAUCCAGAGCCUGAGUGGUCACCAGGAUGACUGUACAGCCCAGCCACUCACUGCAGGGGUGAGAACAUGCCCCGGGCCAGAGGGGAGGGCGCCCCUCCCGUGUGCACUCACGCCCUCCUGUAGCCCCAGCAUCACCAGCAAGGUGGGGUUCAUCAUCUCCAUUCUGUCCAGCUAGAAACAGAGGCCGGGGGCUGCGAAUAGCCCAGCUCUGGCCUCACCUGUGGCCCUGG